rnacentral:lncRNA from 1 species
GGCAACUAGACAGUUUUGCUUGGAUCUCUGGGGCGGCCACGUGUACAUUCAACGCUCUGAGAUGCCUGUGUCCUAAGCUAGGCAGGAAGUGACUUACAGCUGAAAACAGGAUUUGAAUGACUCUGCUCCAGGGAGGCCCCUCAGUAUAAACAGUGAGAAUUUCUGGGAAAUGUACAUGAGGCCAGACUCUUGGGAAAGA